AUCUCGAUUUGAAAACCGCGCAGGAGCUUCGCGUCUCUUCCUCCCUCACUACCGCUCCGCUCCGCUCCAAAACCCUAGACGGCGCCCGCAGCCCGGAGCCCCGGAUCCGCGUCCCGCUCCCCCGGCGUCUCUGCCCGCUGUCGCCGGCUCCCCGAUGGACCUCGCGGGGCCGCGCGGGGCCACGGAUCCCGCCGGAUCGAGGGCCGCGCCGCCGCACGAGGAAUUGGACGGGAGAGGAGGAGGGGCGUGCAGCGGCGCGGCAGCAGUGGAGGGGAGCGCGUGGCGGCUGGCGGUCGCUGGACUGGGAGAUCCAAGGGCCGGAGUUCUGGAAUCUUUGGGUCAACCUGAAGCACAUUUGCACACAUGUACCAUGGAUGUUCCUCAGUUGACUGCUGAAGGUGCCACACAACUUGGAGAUAGAGUGUCUUUAUUACACCAGACAGGGACACUUCAGUCAGAAACUCCUUGUCUGACCUUAGGCCGUGAUUCUAAUGCAGUAUCAAUGGAGAAGCUGCAUGCUAGCGAUUGCUUGCCCUGUGGUAAAGAGAAUGUCGGGACAGGACUACAACCUAAAUCUGAUCCAGAACGUGCUGAUAAUAGGAUGAGUGUUGCACGUCUUGGGUUGGACCUUAACACAGUAGAUAGUCCUGAUGUAGCAGAGCCUAACCCUUUCUUCCCUUACAAGAAAUUGGGGCAGUCAAAAGUCAGCGAUCCAUCGGAAUGUGGCAGCACUACUGGUGCUAUAGAAGAAAGCGAGUCACACAGAAAGUGGAGAGAAAUGAAGCAGAAUGGCUUUCUUUCUUCAUUUCAUGGGAAUGCGGUGGUGCCUAGGCCACGUGGUCGACCCCCCAAAAGGAAAAGGGAUGAUGAAUUCAAAAAGAGCAGUUCCACACAGCAUGUACAGGCUAACAAGUCUGUGAAGGUUGCUGCUCCUAGUGGUCUAUUAUCUGGGCUAAACCCUGGAAUCAUUAACCAUGUGAGAAAUAGCAAGCAAGUUUACUCCAUAAUAAAGGCUAUGGUACACUCUGAGAGGCUUGAGAAUGAGAACCACUCUAGUCAAACAGGUGAAAGAGGGAGAGAAGUUAAUGAGAGAAUUCAGGAUCAGAAAUAUGGUGGUGGUUUCAUGAAGUGCCAUUUGUUGAUAAAUGAUAAUAAUGCGGUGUUUCACCAAACACUGCCUAACACAUCGCAGUUCCUUGCACAGGAUGGUGAUAGUCUUAAACUGCAACUCCCAUCCGCAGUCACUAUGUCUUCAGAUAGGACCUUCAGUACGUCAGCUGAUGAUCCUGCAUCUAAUCAUGAUUACAUGACUGUACUGUCAGUAAAAGCGGCUAGUGUUGCUUCUCAAUGGUUGGAAUUACUGCAUCAGGACAUAAGGGGACGUCUUGCUGCUUUAAAGCGCAGCAGGAAGAGAGUCAGAAAUGCUCUUCACACGGAACUGCCAUACCUAACCGCGACAGAAUUUUCAUCUAAUCAAGAGAACGAAUCAUCCAUUGCAAAUACUUCUGAGAUUGGAUGUACUGACAAAGCGGUUUCAGAAGCUCAUGUGGCACGAUGGAGGUCUCUGUUUGUUCAGAUGGACAAAACACUUCAGGAGGAAGGGAAACAGCUGGCUCGUCACGCGCGUUGACCGCAUGCAUGCAUAUGAUUGGUGACCUGCACCGGCCGAGCGUAGUCUGCAUGCGCGAGUACAACCUAGUUAUUUUCCACCACUUCCACCUGCACACGCAGAGAUGCUAGGAGAGAGCUUCGCUGGUCACCCAGGCCGACGCGAGCCUGAUUCCCACGAACACAUCAACCAAUCACGCAGAUUGUUUGUAUAAGAUGCAUUGUGUUUAUGCUCAUAGAGUAGGUAUAUACAGUACCUGACUUCUUAAUGCUUGUUGCAGGAGAACAAGUUGAAGCAAGUGCAAGAAAUGCAAUUGAAUUGUGAUAAAGGCCUCAAACACAUGACCUGUGAAGCUCCUCUGCUAGGACCUAUGGCUGAACUAUGGAAGCUGAAGAACCCAAAUAUUUCCGAGAGCGAGUGGGCGGUGCAAGCCGCUGCCGCAUCGAUCUACUCGACCUGCAACAUGGUCAUGAGAACGGAGAACGUGCCUUGCUUUUGAUACCACACUUGUACUUUAGUUUUUUGCUUUGGGCGUGUUCGGCUGGCUACAAGCCGACACUGUUGCAGCUGUUUGGAUUGCUGCAGCUGCAAUCCAUAGAGAGAAAAAUACUGUAGAAGCCGCAGCCGCAGCCGGAUUGCAGCCGCAGCAAGCCGCAGCGAACAAGCUUACCUCAAACCAGGUCUUCUUUCUUACCUUUACCCUAUGUGAAUCGUGAUCCCUUGUCCAUUACAGUAGUGGCGACUGGCGAGUGAUGUAACAAGAACAAACUUGUGAUGUAUGUUAUCCCGAGCCUACAAUUUCACAGGCACAUGAAACAGCA